rnacentral:lncRNA from 1 species
CUGAACAUUCUAAAACAGAUCAUUGGAGACAUAAUUGAACAGGGGUAGAUAAAAGGUGUAUUUAAAGAGAAAUCAGUGGGUUUCCCUGAAACAUACAACUAGAACAAUCUACAGUGUACAACUUGACUACAGGGUUCCUCUUGCAAAAAGGAGAUCAGAUACUCAGUGGUAAUUCCCUUACAGUUUUAAGCCCUUCUCCAUUACUGAUAUACUAGAACAUUAACAACAUUUGUGGACUGAGAAUAAUUUUUUUUUUCAAAGGGAGAAAUUCUUAACCAAUUGCAGUACAUUUUUAGAAUGGAAGUGUGAUAGGCAUAUUCUGUUUCCUGCUGCCACACCAGAGAAUGGUUCAGCUGAUGAAGAAGCAAGCAAUAGAGGAGCUGACAUUCACAGUAGUCUGUGCAGAAGAGGCAUUAAGGAGAGGCAAUCAGGAUGUUUGUUCUUCUCUCUUGAGAGCAUAAGGAUUACUACAGACAUUUCACUGGCAAUCCUCACAAACUGGGUGUUCCUUCCUUUUGUGUUGACAGAAGUCUUCAGAAAGUCUACUUCCAUGACUGGACCUUUGAUAAGAAGAGUUGAAGUACUUAGCAGUCUAAGUGCAGGAUGAUUGGUUUGAGCUUGUCAUGACACUUCAGCUCGUUGGCCUACCCUCUGCAAGAGUGCGGUAAGAAGCAAGUUCUUUGUUACAUAAGUUGAGCCGGGUUAGGAUUGCCCUGGAGAUGGAUCUUCCCAGCACACGUGCUGCAGUCACUGCAGUGUGCCCGUGGAGCAGCCAGAGCUCAGCAGCAAGUGCUGAGAUCUUCCAUGCAGGACCUAGUACUGGGCUUAGUGACAUAAAGCAGAACUGCUGCAACCGCUGCAUGAAGGUGCUUUAAACAGUAGGUACACACAUGUAGAAGUGUCUAAUAGCCUUUUGUAGCAUACAGAGCAUCGUUUUC